rnacentral:rRNA from 1 species
GAUCUAGCUUGCUAGAUGCUGACGAGUGGCGCACGGGUGCGUAACGCGUAUACAAUCUACCUUUAACUGAGGGAUAGCCCAGAGAAAUUUGGAUUAAUACCUCAUAGUAUUAUAAUUAGGCAUCUUUUUAUAAUUAAAACUUCGGUGGUUAAAGAUGAGUAUGCGUACUAUUAGCUAGUUGGUAAGGUAAAAGCUUACCAAGGCAACGAUAGUUAGGGGGCCUGAAAGGGUGAUCCCCCACACUGGUACUGAGACACGGACCAGACUCCUACGGGAGGCAGCAGUGAGGAAUAUUGCACAAUGGAGGAAACUCUGAUGCAGCCAUGCCGCGUGCAGGAAGAAUGCCCUAUGGGUUGUAAACUGCUUUUAUACAAGAAGAAACCUCAGUACGUGUACUGACUUGACGGUAUUGUAUGAAUAAGCACCGGCUAACUCCGUGCCAGCAGCCGCGGUAAUACGGAGGGUGCAAGCGUUAUCCGGAUUUAUUAGGUUUAAAGGGUCCGCAGGCGGAAUAUUAAGUCAGUGGUGAAAGCCUACAGCUCAACUGUAGAACUGCCAUUGAUACUGAUAUUCUUGAGUAUGGAUG